rnacentral:pre_miRNA from 1 species
GACUCACUCAACCUGGGUGUGAUGUUAUUUAUAAUAUGGUAUCCAUCACAACCUCCUUGAGUGAGCGA